AAAUGAUCUAAUAUUUAUAUCAGUAAUAUGUGUAUAAUUAUAACUCUGCAUUACAGAACUGCAUUUUAUAUAUUGUGUUAUUGUAAGCAUAAAAACAACUGUUAAGAAAACUGUGAAUCUAUUUCUUCAUCAAAAUGUCUCAGCAGCCUCUGCCACAACAAACACUCCAUCAACUCCUUCAACAUCUCCUGCCAGUACAAGCUCUUCUACAGCUGAGUCUCAAACAGCAGAGCUUUCAAGUAAGUAAUAUAUGUGUACUGUAGAGUUGUCUUCAUACUAUUGUAGUGGAAACUGCUACUUCAUUUCUUCAUCAAAAUGUCCCAGCAGCCUCUUCAUCAACUGUAUCUCCAACAUCAGCUCCUUCAAGUGAGAUUUUAAAAAUUUCUACAUUAUUGUGUGAACAUUUAAAUUGAAAAAUUUCAUUUAUAGGUCCA
rnacentral:lncRNA from 1 species